AUUAUUUUACUUCAAAACCAAAACAUAGAACUUUUAAAGUUUAUAGUCAAAACCUGAGAACUAUCCACAAACUCAUAUUUGUAAUAUUAAAUGUGAUCUGGUAGACAUGGGCCAUUUGGCACACAAUAUCACUAAUGCUCUAAUAAAAAAAAAGGAAUGGUUAGAAAAAAAAACAAAAAACGUUGAAUUGACGCAUAUAAAUCUACUAUUGUUUUUUGUGGAAUUAAAACCGCAGACUAACAAUAAAAAUAUUUAUCAUGUAGAACAAUUAUGCCGACACAAAGAUUGAGUUGAAAAUCUAAAAAAGAAGAAAAAACAAGUCCCGCAGUACAAAAGUCCUUUAAUCAUACACAAAAUUACUGCGCUGUACUUAAGUGUAGCAAAAAACAUAAGUAUAUAGAUUGUCCUAAGUCUAAGAAAAAUAAAGUAAAGUAUGCUACUUGUGACGAAAGUAAUAAUUAGAAAGUCACAACUAACAGAAAAGUCUAUAAUACCAACCAGCCUAUAAUGUGGCAGAGUUAAAAGCUAAUCCAUUAAAAAUGACUGCUGUUCAACGUGUGCAGUGAAAUAAACUAAUUAAGUUUAGCUUGUGUAAAAUGUUGAUUAAGACCAAAUGUCGUUUCAAUUAAACAUUUUGAAAAGAAAAAAAGAAUUGUUAAAAUGUAUAUCUUGCCUAAGCAAUAUUAAUUGUUUAUAACGAAGUAAUAAUGGUUUUCAUAUUAACAUAUUAUGUCACUAUACUGUUGUAAUAGGCCCUUUACAUAAAAACACAAUUUCUUUCUCUUCCUUUUCAUCUCUCAGCACAAACAAAGAUUCUAUCCUAUUACACAAUACUUUUCACAACAUAUACUAUACACAAUCAAUAUUUUCUGUGCUUAAUCACAGCCAAACACAUAGUUGACACAAUCACGUAUUGAUAGGCAUCCGCUCUUCUUUUUCACCGCACGUGCACUGUUCGACAAUCAAAUGUUUCUAUUUAUUAUUUUCAGUUAAAGGACGAUUUUUCAUUGUAUAAACAAAAUUAUGAAAUUCCUAAAAAAAUGUGAAGCAAAUGAAAGCCGGACGAGGAAUAUGUGCGUCUCUGGAAGGGGUUACAAGAAGGACUCCAGGAGAGACCCAGAGAUGGACCUGUUUCAAUCGAACUCUAAGACGUCGCAUUCAUCUUCUGGUUCUCGCGAGCUACCUUAAUUUAACACCGCAGAAUAAUUAUAAAUAUAUUUAUCAAUAUAUAAGCUUGUGUUUAUUAACUAAGAAUAAUAUCUCUCCGUAACAUUCACGUGAUGUAAUUACCUUCUAAUUAUCACAAUUAUUUUGUAUAAUCAUAUGUGAAGUUAUAUUAAUUAUAUUAUUUUAUCAUCAACUAUUUGGAUUUUCGUUCUUUUUAUCAAUAUUUUACAUGCCUAAAGGAUAACUAAAAGCUCAGUUUACAUUUACUUGACAUAAGAAACAAAACUGCGCUUCAAAUAAGAGGUAGAAUAGACGAGGAAAUGUGCGCGCGUGGACAGCCGACGGCAAUGUUGGUGGCAGAAUAUUUUAUUUAUAAUAUCAGAGCAAAGAAUACGUGGGCUGAGGAUUAAAUAUUAAAUACAGAUUAUUCAGUUGGGAAUUGGAAAGUCCAUAAAAUAUUGAAAAUUAAAUUACCAACGGCUGCAUUGGCUUCGUAGUUAUGUGGACGUUUCGAAGGCAGAGGUUGAAUAGUCAAUGGUAACUGUAAAAUGAGAGUGGUAAGAAGAAGAGUCUAUGCUAACAUUAGAAUGUAAAAGUUAUGCAUAAAGAACCUCUGCGCAUUUUAGUGAAAAAAAUAGUUCAUUAAAGUGUUAGUAAGUACAUUUGAGUCAUCCUUAUAAAGUUUGUUUUUAAAUUCUUUAUUGGAUAAAAUUUAUUCAAUAAGAAACGUAUUAUUAAUUGAUUCUAAAUUAUUUAAAUAUUAGUAUACAUUUGUUUAAUAUUCUUUAUUUCUCUGUUUAUGCAUUAAAUAUAAUAUUUAUACACAAAAAUUAUAUGUGCAUACAUUUGUUUUAAAAACAGGAUAACAGAAAAGCUGGUGCACAUAGUUCAUUCGAGCUUUGUUGCGUUGGUACAGUUCUGUUCAAUCGAGUUAUACAAUUUUCUUUAUGAAUAUAUUACAAAGGGGAAAACGGAUUUUGUAAUCGAAAAACUAAUCAAUAUAUACAAUGUCUACACAUUUUCUGCAAAGUAAAUUUUAAACAUUUUGAUUUUAAAUAGACCGACAUUCGAAUUGAAUGACCGGACAUGGUAUACGAUUUGCAAUUAUAAAUUUGUUAGUGUUAUAUUGAGUAAAAAGAAGUAAUCUAUUUAUCAAGUUAGGUAAUCAUGUGUAUAUAUUACUAAUGUUUAAGAUGUAUAUGAUCACAAAAAUGUGAUACUAAAUGAUGUGAGGGCCUACAAAGAGCCAGAUUAGACUCUUUGUCUAGAGUUUUUUCAAUUAUAAAUUCGACUGUUGGUUUUUCGAAUAUAUAUAAUCAUAAGUUUGAGUUAUUUAACUUUAACCGAACUUUACUUGAAAUGUGUUUUUUGAUUAUACAGGGCUAUAUAUUAAGAACAAGACGCCCUUUCUCGGAAACAUGAAAAUUUCAAGUAUAUGAAUAGGAAAAUAUUGUUUUAUUCAGAAAACUCAUCAAUAAUAUGUAGUUAAUUUUUUUUCAUCUCUCCAGGGAUGAAAAACUUAAGCUUAUUUUAGUUUGGUGAUAAAAAAGAAACAUUUCGCAAAAGGUAAUUACUUCAAAAAAAACUAUUUCAAAAGAAUUUUACUCAACCAAACGAAUUUCAACUUAUCGAUCACUUUAGUAAAACUUCUUUAUUCUAAGUUAUAAAUUAAUGCUAAAUAAUUGUUUUUAUGAGGAAUGUAACCUUA